rnacentral:misc_RNA from 1 species
AGCUUGUAGCUUGGCGAAACAGGUCGGCUUCAUCCCCAUUACUGUCAGAAUUUCGCAAAUAAUAUCUUUUGUUUCCUCUUAUGAUACAGCAGAACCUUGUUUUGUUGGAUAAAUUUUUAUUUAGGUUGUUUGGAAUUGCUAUUCGAGCAAGAAAAGUAUUACGUUAGAUAUAUUAGUUAAAGGUGGUUAAAAAAUAAUUUUAAGUUGAAUUUGACAUUUUUAAUUAUAAGAACUUUUAAAUAACUAAAUAGGUUUUUUUCCAAAACGCUUUAUAUGGCAGUAUCUAAAAUCCAAGCAUAAAUUAGAAGUCUUUCAUGCUAAAAAUACAUGCAAAAACGUAGAAGACCUAAAAUAAUUAAAAGCAAACAUUAAAAAGUAAAAAAUUAAACAAGUAACAAAAACUAAUUAGAAACAAAUAAAAUUAGUUAAAAAUAAGUAAAACAAACAAAAAAAAAAAACAGAAAAAAAUAUAUUAAACUACCACAUAUUAGUACUUUUUCAAAAAGCAAGUUAUAACCGCAAUCCAAACAGACUUGUUCUUCAUGAUAGAAUCAAUUUUCCUUUCUUGUCCAAUGUAUAUGGUAAAUGGAAUGGGGUUGUUGUUCUGGAUUUGAGUUAACUUACUCACGUCCUUAGGAACCAAAGAACUUAUUCAAUUCAAUAAACACAAGAUUAAAAGUUUGGAGAAACAGUCAGAUUUUGUACCAGGUCAAAAUUAAUAGUUCAUAAAUUUCAUCAUGGAGGUAAGAUAAGGAUAUGUUUCAAGUUACACAAAGUAUACAAGAUAGUAAUUGUUUGCCUAUCUCCUUAUCUAAUUUUAAUAGGAAAUAGGUUUUAGACGCUUAACCUUUUAUCGUUCUAUUAAAUAUGACCUUGAAUAUUGAGUUCGCCAAAUGUGGAAUAUAUUGCUUGAAAAUGGAAAUCAAAAUGCUUGCUUCAGGUGUUCUGUUUAGUGAUGUGGACUGUUAUAGAACUAAAGUUUAGAGAAAUCAUAAAUUUUCUAAAAUCACAGAUUAUCUUCAAUGGAAAGCCGUCAUUUGAAUUGCUGAAGUCCCUAGAAAAGCUGACCUUCAUGUUCCUAGUCCCAUGUGUCUCGUAGGGUCUAGGGUCUGUGAAGGAUGAAUUAAGUAGCAUGUAAGAGCAUAUAUUCCUCGGGUUUCAGUGUCUAUUUAAGUUUUGCUAACAGAUAACUUUUGGUUACAAUGAGAUACCUCUACUUUUUAGCCAUCCAUGGAAGCGAGAAGAAGCACUUAGUUGUUACUGAUGUAUAACAGAAUGCAGACCGGAAAAGAUGAGAAAUGAGUGAACUCAGGAGGGACACCUAUAAAUAACCCUGAAUACCUGUCUGUACUUGCAUAUCUGUACGUGUGUGUUUGUGUGUCUAGAAUCUAUCAGAUGCUAAUUACAUGUUACCAUGAAACAGUUGUUAAUAAUGCCAUCUUUUCUUAUUACAUAUGUUUUUAAGAUCCACAACUUAAUGGAUUUUAUGUAUUUUUUUAUCAAUGUGAUGCGUGUGGAAUCUUACAUUUGAUUACUUUCAAUAAUUCAAUUUCAGGCAUUUGAGGAAGCCAUUGCUGAGCUGGACACAUUGGGUGAGGAGUCCUACAAGGAUAGUACUCUCAUCAUGCAACUGCUGAGGGAUAACCUUACUCUCUGGACUUCAGAUAUGCAGGAGCAGAUAGAUGAGGCAUAAUUGGAUGGGAUUGUUUUGGCUCUUCCAAGGGGGUGGGCUAGAAUGUCAUGAACUGUAAUCCAAGUACGACAUAGUUGUGUAUAGUUGUGUAAAAUUUGCUUUGGUUUUAGCUUCCUGAUGUAGCUACAAACUUAUUGUUGGAAACAACUAUAAGAAUGAAUUUCAAUUCCCAUUGAGUGAUUUACAAGUGCUACUUGAGGUGAAUCUUUGUAGGUGUGUGAUUUCAUACUUCCUUGGUUUCUAUUUUCUUUUAUUUUUGGUUCUGCUAGAGCCGUCUAUGACCUUAUGAUUCCAUUCUUGUCUUAUUCGAGAAUUUGUAUGCAUUGCCUACUUGUUCUACGACUUUGCUGAAAAAAGGCUGGGCAGAUUUCACAUGUUUCUAGGUGGAUGCCAGGUACUAAGCAUAUAAAUCCAAAUUCACAGAUAGUUUGUAAUACAACUGCCAUGAUUCGAAUUGAGCUUUGCAAUUAUUGGUCUCUUUUUUCUACUUUAAAAAUUAAUUCUCUAGCAUUAAGAAUUUAUUCACCAUACAGCUCAAGUAAUUGAAUAGUUUGCGUAAACAAUAACACCAUUUCCUGCCCAACAAAUCGUAUUGUGUAUGCAUCAAUUUAAUCAAAAUAUGAAGUAAAUUAGUAACACACAACUGUGGUGACUCGCUAGCGAACAACAUUCAAGAAAAGAAUUUUCAAUUAUGUCCUUGUUAGAAUUUAAAAAUAGUAAUUUACUAUCUGUUCUAACAUUUUCAGAGCAAAAAAUUGUAGGAAAAUGAAAAAAGUUUCUUGGAACUUAAAGAUAAUGUUCUCAGAAGAUUUAGUGCCUGUUUAAUUGUCUGGCAGGUUGCGGACGUAGGUUCGACGAUUUAUUUUCAGUGGCGAUAGGGAGCAUUGAGUUGUGGUUUAGUAUUUUUCAUCAUGGAGACACGGGUUCAUAAUUGGAUAAAUUUGUUUUAUAAGGGAAAAGCGAUUUGAUUCGAUUUGAAUGUUCAACCGGUUUCAGACCAGCAAUGGGAAUGAGAAAGCAAGAAGGUAACAUUCAAGAGUUUGGAUUGUGUAAUCAAACAAGAGGCCUUGAUUUCCAGGAGCCUACGGAAGCAGUUUCAAAUAUCUUGGCAAUGUUUGAGGUGGCGGUUUGAUCAGGGAUUAUUUGGGAAAUCGGCUUCGGGGUUUUUCAUUUAGAAUCAGUUACGCCUCCACAAUGAAUGCUGAUAUGAAAGGGCCACGGAAUAAAAUUAUAUCCGUAUAAGUAAUCGUCAACAAAUAAUGACCAGAGGACAGAGUAACAUUCCAAGAAAGCAAUGCUAGAGUAUGAGAGAUAAGGUGAGUGUAAUACUUAUCCUUGGAAUUGCUUCUAGCAUAUGUAUACACAGAACUCUUAAAUAGCAUUGCUGCGAAGGCUAGCUGCAGCAGCCGCAGUGGAGAAGAAGACUAGGCAAAAGCAAAAACAGAAACGCCAAGUUGCAGAGGAAAAGCGACAAUACCUUUAGUUGAGUCCCCAAGUAAUGCGAGCGAAGCCUCCAGUUGUUCCUGAUCAUGCCAAGAAGAGUCGGCUGAUUUUCAGAAAGAAGAACACAAAAGGACAAGAUCAGGGAAGCUAUGGACAAUGGAGUAACCAGUUGCAAUCACAGAAACAGCAAAAGAUACGAGAUCAAGGUUCACUGUUACACAAGGGUUAAAACUUCUCUCAUGGAAGCUUAUUAUACUACCGUUUUAAAAUUAUAAAUAAAAUUUAAAUUACUAUUUAAUUUUAUUCAUAAAAAAUUACUGUAUAAUUCGUGUUAUAAGAAAUUAUGGUUUUCUAUAUUCUAGGACACAGAAAUCUGUUACUAUACAUUAAAGCAGAAUCACAAUUCACGUGAACACUGAACAAAAU